rnacentral:rRNA from 1 species
AUUGAACGCUGGCGGCAUGCCUUACACAUGCAAGUCGGGCGGCAGCGCGGGGGCAACCCUGGCGGCGAGCGGCGAACGGGUGAGUAACGCAUCGGAACGUGUCCUGAAGUGGGGGAUAACCUACCGAAAGGUAGGCUAAUACCGCAUGGGCUCGGGAGAGCAAAGGGGGGNUCGCAAGACCUCUCGCUUGAGGAGCGGCCGAUGUCGGAUUAGCUAGUUGGGUGGGGUAAAGGCCCACCAAGGCGACGAUCCGUAGCGGGUCUGAGAGGAUGAUCCGCCACACUGGGACUGAGACACGGCCCAGACUCCUACGGGAGGCAGCAGGUGGGGUAAUUUUGGACAAAGUGGGGGCAACCCUGAUACCAGCCAUGCCGCGUGUGUGAAGAAGGCCUU